rnacentral:snRNA from 1 species
GGAUGUGAGGGCGAUCUGGCUGCGACAUCUGUCACCCCAUUGAUCGCCAGGGUUGAUUCGGCUGAUCUGGCUGGCUAGGCGGGUGUCCCCUUCCUCCCUCACCGCUCCAUGUGCGUCCCUCCCGAAGCUGCGCGCUCGGUCGAAGAGGACGGCCUUCCCCGAAUAAAGACGGACCGGUCUUUGGUCGAGGGUAUACGAGUAGCUGCGCUCCCCUGCUAGAACCUCCAAACAAGCUCUCAAGAAGGGAAGUAGGGGAAGAAAGGAGAGAAGCAGGGAAGGCAGGCAGGCAAUGUGGGUAAUU